rnacentral:lncRNA from 1 species
AACACCAACUACUUCUGAAAUUGUUUUCCUUUGAAACAAAUAACUAACCCUAAACCCUAUACCCUAAACAUGCAACCCUAAACCCUAAACCCUAAACCCUAAAUAUAUAAAAAAGACUAUGUAAAACCAUCAAAGAUAAACUGAUCUGUUUGAAUUAUAGUGUCUGGAUGAAUGGAAAGAUACAAUAACCGUUUAACAAUUCGGUUUAACAAACGAAAU